CAGUCGCCGCGGUAAUACAGAAGAUGCAAGCGUUAUCCGGAAUGAUUGGGCGUAAAGCGUCUGUAGGUGGCUUUUCAAGCCCACCGUCAAAUCCCAGGGCUCAACCCUGGACAGGCGGUGGGAACUACCAAGCUAGAGUACGGUAGGGGCAGAGGGAAUUUCCGGUGGAGCAGUGAAAUGCGUAGAUAUCAAGAGGAACACCCAUGGCGAAGGCAGCUCGCUGGCCUGUAACUGACGCUGAGGCGCGAAAGCUGGGGGAGCAAACAGGAUUAGAUACCCCGGUAGUCCCUGUCUCUUAUAC
rnacentral:rRNA from 1 species